rnacentral:rRNA from 1 species
CUACCUAGUGACCGAUAGCGUAUAGUACCGUGAGGGAAAGGUGAAAAGAACCCCGGGAGGGGAGUGAAAUAGAACCUGAAACCCUGCACUUACAAGCUGUGGAAGCACAUUUCUUGUGUGACCGCGUACUUUUUGUAGAACGGGCCAACGAGUUACGUUAAGUAGCAAGGUUAAGCACUUAAGGUGUGGAGCCGUAGCGAAAGCGAGUUUUAACUGAGCGUUCAGUUACUUGACGUAGACCCGAAACCGGGCGACCUACCCAUGAGCAGGAUGAAGCGAAAGUAAAAUUUCGUGGAGGUCCGAACCCACGAGCGUUGAAAAGCUCGGGGAUGACUUGUGGGUAGCGGUGAAAUUCCAAUCGAGCCCGGAGAUAGCUGGUUCUCCCCGAAAUAGCUUUAGGGCUAGCCUCAAGGUGAGAGAUACGGAGGUAGAGCACUGAAUGUCCUAGGGGGUAUUGCACCUACCGAAGACUAUCAAACUCCGAAUGCCGUCAUCUUAUACUUGGGAGUCAGACUGUGGGUGAUAAGAUUCAUAGUCGAAAGGGCAACAGCCCAGAUCGUCAGCUAAGGUCCCUAAAUGUAAGUUAAGUGGUAAAGGAUGUGGGAUUGCACAGACAACCAGGAUGUUGGCUUAGAAGCAGCCACUCAUUCAAAGAGUGCGUAAUAGCUCACUGGUCGAGUGAUCCUGCGCCGAAGAUUUCCGGGGCUAAAACUUACUACCGAAGCUACGGCAUCAGUAAUGAUGGGUAGGGGAGCUUCCCAUACAGGUUGAAGCAUGACCGUAAGGACAUGUGGACAGUAUGGGAGUGAGAAUGUUGGCAUGAGUAGCGAGAUGUGGGUGAGAAUCCCACAGGCCGUAAACCCAAGGUUUCCAGGGGAAGGUUCGUCCGCCCUGGGUUAGUCGGGACCUAAGCUGAGGCCGAAAGGCGUAGGUGAUGGACAACAGGUUGAUAUUCCUGUACUACCGAUAACCGUUUGAGAGAAGGGAUGACACAGUAGGAUAAGCUAAGCACACUGUUGGUUAUGUGUGCCCAAGCAUUGAGGCAGUCAAAGUAGGCAAAUCCGCUUUGAUAAUGCUGGGAUGUGAUGGGGAGCGAAAUUUAGUAGCGAAGUAGCUGAUUUCACACUGUCAAGAAAAGUCUCUAUCGAGGUUAAAGGUACCCGUACCGCAAACCGACACAGGUGGGUGAGGAGAGUAUCCUAAGGCCAGCGAGAGAACUGUUGUUAAGGAACUCGGCAAAAUGACCCCGUAACUUAGGGAUAAGGGGUGCCACCAUCAGGUGGCCGCAGAGAAUAGGCCCAAGCGACUGUUUACCAAAAACAUAGGUUUCUGCUAAGUCGCAAGACGAUGUAUAGGAGCUGACGCCUGCCCGGUGCUGGAAGGUUAAGGGGAUCUGUUAGAGCAAUCGAAGCAGUGAACUUAAGCCCCAGUAAACGGCGGCCGUAACUAUAACGGUCCUAAGGUAGCGAAAUUCCUUGUCGGGUAAGUUCCGACCCGCACGAAAGGCGUAACGAUUUGGGCACUGUCUCAACAACAGACUCGGUGAAAUUGUAAUUCCGGUGAAGAUGCCGGAUACCUGCGACAGGACGGAAAGACCCCAUGGAGCUUUACUGUAGCUUGACAUUGGGUCUUGGUACUACAUGUACAGGAUAGGUGGGAGGCUUUGAAACCAGGACGCCAGUUUUGGCGGAGCCAUCCUUGGGAUACCACCCUUGUAGUACUGGGACUCUAACCAUAGGCCAUGAAUCUGGUCUUGGGACACUGUCAGGUGGGCAGUUUGACUGGGGCGGUCGCCUCCCAAAAGGUAACGGAGGCGCUCAAAGGUUCUCUCAGUACGGUCGGAAAUCGUACGUAGAGUGUAAAGGCAAAAGAGAGCUUGAUUGCAAGACAUACAGGUCGAGCAAGGAUGAAAAUCGGACUUAGUGAUCCGGUGGUUCUGCGUGGAAGGGCCAUCGCUCAACGGAUAAAAGCUACCCUGGGGAUAACAGGCUUAUCUCCCCCAAGAGUCCACAUCGACGGGGAGGUUUGGCACCUCGAUGUCGGCUCAUCACAUCCUGGGGCUGUAGUAGGUCCCAAGGGUUGGGCUGUUCGCCCAUUAAAGUGGUACGCGAGCUGGGUUCAGAACGUCGUGAGACAGUUCGGUCCCUAUCCGUCGCAGGCGUAGGAAAUUUGAGAAGACCUGUCCUUAGUACGAGAGGACCGGGAUGGACGUACCUCUGGUGUACCAGUUGUCCUGCCAAGGGCAUGGCUGGGUAGCUAUGUACGGAAUGGAUAAGCGCUGAAAGCAUCUAAGCGCGAAGCCAACUUCAAGAUAAGAUUUCCCACCGCAAGGGUAAGACCCCAGAAAGACUAUCUGGUUGAUAGGUCGAAGGUGUAAGUGCAGCAAUGUAUUUAGCUUAUCGAUACUAAUAGGUCGAGGACUUGACCAA